GAUGAACGCUAGCUACAGGCUUAACACAUGCAAGUCGAGGGGCAUCAGGAACAUAGCUUGCUCUGUUUGCUGGCGACCGGCGCGCGGGUGCGUAACACGUAUCCAAUCUGCCCGUUACUCGGGGAUAGCCUUUCGAAAGAAAGAUUAAUACCCGAUAGUAUUAUUUAUAGGCAUCUAUUUAUUAUUAAAGAUUUAUCGGUAACGGAUGAGGAUGCGUAUGAUUAGUUAGUUGGCGGGGUAACGGCCCACCAAGACUACGAUCAUUAGGGGUUCUGAGAUGAAGGUCCCCCACACUGGAACUGAGAAACGGUCCAGUAUCCUACGGAAGGCAGCAGGGAGGAAGAUUGGUCAAGGGACGAGAGUCUGAACCAGCCAAGUAGCGUGAAGGAUGACUGCCCUAUGGGUUGUAAACUUCUUUUGUUUGGGAAUAAAGUUAGGUACGUGUACCUAUUUGUAUGUACCAUUCGAAUAAGCAUCGGCUAAUUCCGUGCCAGCCGCCGCAGUAACAC
rnacentral:rRNA from 1 species